CGGACUAGGAUGGCAGGUCGGACUGCAGUAAGUGUGUGUAAAAUUUGAGCUGCUGAGUAGAUCAAAAACUAAAGUCCUGGUGGUUUUUGGUGAACCAUGAGCAACAUGUGGUUCAGGUUUAGGAAUCAGUGACAAAGACCAGGUACCAGAUCCAGACCAGGGCAUUAGGAUCCCGUCACAGGCAGCGGAGUAAAAAAAAAAUCAUACCUUUCCUUUUAUGGCCUAGAAGUGUUCACAGUUUCAAUAGUUAACUACACAACAAAUUACAAAAACAGUAAUUAGAAUGUAGUGAAGUAACGAGCAGAAAGUGGAAACUAAGUAGGCGGCGGCCUUUUUCUACGCAUGCGCGUCCUCUGCUCACGGGGUCACGUUCAGCGCCGUUUGAAAACUUUGGAGCUUGGAUCAUGCAGAAGUGGAUUAACCAGCAACUGACCGGGGAACUUUCUGUGGUUGGCUGCUAAGUAUUUCCACCAUUAGACUUCGUAUGAACAGACAGCGACCACUGGAGAAGAGACGCUGACUAUCACAGAGCCACAGGAAGCGCCAUCCACCUGAGAGAAUAACAUCACAAUGCAACAAGAGGGCAGAGGAGGAACCAGUUACACCUAGGGUGGCAGAGUUCAUGAUCUAUUAACUUCACUGGAGGACAAUGAUUUGGAUGAAACUGUGACCCGAAUUCUGCAGCAGCAUCCCAAUUGUGGACACAAAAUGAUGGCUGUGCACCUGAAUGCACAAGGCAUCUGCAUAUAAAGACAGCGUGUCCAGGAGUCCAUGUGGCGUGGGGAUCCUCAUGGAGUUUGAAUGCGUACCCUUCAGCUGAACCCACAGAGGCGCAUUGACGGCAAUCACAAACUGUUAAGGUAUCUGAAAAGCAUUAAACAUCUCAAGCAUUGCAUAUAAACUGAGGUUUAUAAAUAUCCACUUCACUGUAGGUUUUGCCAGUGAAAAUAUGUUUCAGAUGUAGUAGCUUUUUAAAGUGGUCUGUAUGUACAGGUUAAUUAAAAACUAUUUGGACUAUGGCAUAUAUUCUCUUUUUGGCAAAGUGUUCUUUAUUUAUGAUUUGGAAUUCUAUUUAUUUGGUAAUGUUUAAGUACUGACUUUCACUUUUAAUUUGAAGUUGUUUACAUUGACUUCUGAUAAGUAUGGUAGGAAUUAUGUAAUCCUCUUUAUACUUUCUAAAAGGGGCUUAAAAGGGCCUUGACUCUCACAGUGACUCCAGCAUGAAUGUGAACAUCCUCAAAUUAAAGCUUGUAGUCAACACUUCCAUUGCUUUCAAGUCAUGGCUUUCAUUGCAAAUCCAAUAGCUUGAUUAAAGAAAAGCUAAAUUAUCAGUGACCACACCUUUUGACUAUAAUGUAUAAUACUGUUGUAAGAAAGUAUCUCACAAUGGAAAAAGUACAGCAUGCUGUUGGCCUCAAAGGUUAUUUUAAGUCAAUAUACUCAGAAUCUUGUGUAAAUCCACUUCACUGUUGAGGUGAUAUAGCUGUGUAUUUUGGUGUAUAUCGCAGAGUAAAUCCAUGUGUUAACUGAAAUUAUGUGAACUGGAAUUAUAGUACAGUAUAUACAUAGACUCACUGCUGACCUAUAACUUUAUCAUGAUUUUUAUUUAUGUUUUAAGUGUAAUGGAACAGAUAUUUUUAAGUUUAAAGCCUUCAGAUAAAAUAGCUCUAUUCCAAAAUACAGUACAAUAUGUUCUGUGUCACUCUGGACCAAGCUUGCACAGAGGGACAUUAUGCAGGUAAUGUUAAUUGUUUUAAUAUUUGCUCAUACUGUAUAUAUUUCUCAGAGGUGGCACUGAGUAGUUUGUAUUGCUGACCCCUGCUCUCUCACUCUCCUGUGGUGUUGUCAACAUGCUCACAAGUCUACUGUUAGGUAUUUUUAGUCAGAUAGACAUUGGUUAGGUACUUGUAUGUAUUAGAAAUG